GAUGAACGCUGGCGGCGUGCCUAAUACAUGCAAGUCGAGCGAACAGACGAGGAGCUUGCUCCUCUGACGUUAGCGGCGGACGGGUGAGUAACACGUGGAUAACCUACCUAUAAGACUGGGAUAACUUCGGGAAACCGGAGCUAAUACCGGAUAAUAUAUUGAACCGCAUGGUUCAAUAGUGAAAGACGGUUUUGCUGUCACUUAUAGAUGGAUCCGCGCCGCAUUAUCUAGUUGGUAAGGUAACGGCUUACCAAGGCAACGAUGCGUAGCCGACCUGAGAGGGUGAUCGGCCACACUGGAACUGAGACACGGUCCAGACGCCUACGGGAGGCAGCAGUAGGGAAUCUUCCGCAAUGGGCGAAAGCCUGACGGAGCAACGCCGCGUGAGUGAUGAAGGUCUUCGGAUCGUAAAACUCUGUUAUUAGGGAAGAACAAAUGUGUAAGUAACUAUGCACGUCUUGACGGUACCUAAUCAGAAAGCCACGGCUAACUACGUG
rnacentral:rRNA from 1 species